rnacentral:misc_RNA from 1 species
AACGCACAUUGCGCCCGCCAGUAUUCUGACGGGCAUGCCUGUUCGAGCGUCAUUUCAACCCUCAGGCACAGCCUGGUGAUGGGGCUUCUUCUCGCGGCGUCACUGCCGCGGGGCCCUGAAAAGCAGCGGCGGGCCCUGCCGGACUCCGAGCGCAGUAAUUCUUCUCGCUUAGGGGAUCGGUAGGCGCCCUGCCUUCUAUCAUUUUAUCUAAGGUUGACCUCGGAUCAGGUAGGAAUACCCGCUGAACUUAA